UACGUAGGGUGCGAGCGUUAAUCGGAAUUACUGGGCGUAAAGCGUGCGUAGACGGUUAUUUAAGUCGGGUGUGAAAGCCCCGGGCUCAACCUGGGAAUUGCCAUUGAUACUAUUUGUCUUGAAUACUGUGGAGGUCAGCGGAAUAUGUCAUGUAGCGGUGAAAUGCUUAGAUAUGACAUAGAACACCAAUUGCGAAGGCAGCUGGCUACACAAAUAUUGACACUGAGGCACGAAAGCGUGGGGAUCAAACAGG
rnacentral:rRNA from 1 species